rnacentral:misc_RNA from 1 species
GGAAGGAUCAUUACAGAAUUGUCAACGGGUUGUUGCUGGUCCUCGAACGGGGACAUGUGCACGCUCUGUUUACACAUCCACUCACACCUGUGCACCCUCCGUAGUUCUGCGGUCUGGGGGACCCCUGUCCUCCUGCCGUGGUUCUACGUCUUUACACACACAC